UACUAUGUGAAUUUCGCUCAGCAGGAAGUCCGCCCAAAUCGCAUUCACAUGUUAACAACAUUAUAAUUACUCUCCAUAGAAGGAGACUAAAGGAGGGGCGAUGCUAGAUCCAUGUGAGAAAUGCCAAGUCUGCGAAAGCGGGAUAGAAUGUCAAAGUGUCGCCUAAUUCACUUCUUUUGAGGUGAACAUUUCGUUUAAUUUUGGAAAAUGGUCCGUCCGGAAGCCGACACUGAUGAAGAGCGGUGUCAUUUCGAACAGCGAACUGAUCCAGCUGAGGAUCAACUUCAUGCAGAUGCUGAUCAGGAAACACGGCCUAGUUCACCACUAGCUAAGAGGCCACGCAAGCGUUGCAAGAGUACACCAGUCUCAUCUCAUCUUCCAUGCGUAUAGUUUGCUUCAAUAAAUGUUCUGAAAAUCAAAA